CCCCACUUUAGAGAUGAGAUAAUUGAAGGCAACCUAGCAAAUAGGCAGCCCCCAUAAUCUUUUUAUUUCUCUGCACAUCAGCAGGUACUUAAAAGGGUAGAAAAAUUCCCAAAACCCACCCACCAAGGAGUGAUUCAGUCUGAUAUUUCUAGGACUUCUGUUUAACCUUCUAUUAAAACCUAUUUUAAUUGUUUAUAUUGAUUUACCCACUUGUUUAUGUCGAUUCUGGGGAACAGUCAAUACCUUAGCCCUGAGCAGAAUUGAGAUGCAUCAAAAUCAUAACCAAUGGGCAAAAUUGGCAUGUCCUGCCCCAUAGCUGAAACCACAGCCAUUUGAGCUUAGCCUCUAGGGGCAGGCCUUCCCAACAUUAUUGCCAUCAUUCUCAUUCUUCAGGGCCAUUGACAGAUAUCACUACACAGUGCUCAGGAGUAAAAAGAAAGCAAAGACAGGGGGGUAAUCCAUGUUUCUACAGAGAGAAGUGGAGACCUGAUGACACCUAGAGCCAACCAUAGUAUGGAACCAACCUCCUAAUUCUUGGGUUAGAGAGUUUUAUUUUCCAAAAGUUUUCUCAUUGAAGGAAAGCAGAGUCACUUCCUGGCUAAGCCAAAGGUCAUUUUGUAUCUGGGAGGAAAAGAAAUCCACUGAGGCUAUUUCAAAAGCACCUAGGGUUUUUCUUGGGAAGACAUAACAAGGAAUCUCACAGAAAACCCAAGACUUAAACAAACACAGAUAGAUCUCACAGGAUUGGAGCUGGGAAGUUGGAAAUUUCAACUACUUUUUCUGUCUUGCAGAGACCAGGUAGUGUUCCUGAACUGCUUUUCUCUGGCAUCAACUCCUUUCUUUCUCAGCUGUCUUGUCUGAUAGGGACCCAGCCCAAUACCUGAGACUCAACUCUACAUCACUUCCAGGGAAGAUACCAUAGCUCCUAUUCACAUAAGAAGAAACCACCUCUGAAAGACUGAAUGACCUGUUCAUGGUCCCACGGAGCUGCAGAGAGCUGUGAGCUGGAGCCCAAUUUGUCUGGCUCUGAAGAACCUGCUCUGAAUCACUCUACUGCACACAGAAGGAAGGAAAGGCAGGAUAUGCAAGGCAAGCAGUCCUUGGCCAUCAAUGCCAAUUCUGGCAGAGGACAAGAGAGCUCUGGAUGGUCUCGCAACUGUAUUUAAAAGCUCCAGCCAGAAGUAACAGGCAUCACUUGCAUUCCAAUUCAUGGACCACCUGACCACAAGGGGAUGUGACCCUAAGUUAUGCGCAGAAAUAGAAAAACCAGAAUCCUGAACAAACGGCACUCAUGGCUAUGCCAGCAAACCUGAAGUCUGAAACUGCCCAGGGUUUUUUGAAGAUCUCCUGUGCUGUCUUCUCUAGAAAUGAAUAACUGAGGGGGUGCGACCAGAUGUAACCUCACACCACCCGUUAGAUUUGAAUGAACAUUGAGAUUACUGUAUAGUUUUCAGUAUGGAAAAUAGUGAAACGACACUUUAAAAUGUCCAACUAGGAAACGAGAACUCAGAAGGGAAACCUUACGUUGAAGGGGGAACCCUAGUCUUUCUCUGGGGCUAUGGUCUUGUGUCUGGACAUCAGGGCAUCAUAAAGAUGCCCCUCACUGGGAAGAACUCAGCCAGGAGAAGGACGGUAGAAAGCUCAUCCAAUUAAGUCCCAUUUGUUUAUUUUUGUUUUUAUU